rnacentral:rRNA from 1 species
GACGAACGCUGGCGGCGUGCUUAACACAUGCAAAUCGAACGAUGAAGCCGGAGCUUGCUCUGGUGAAUUAGUGGCGAACGGGUGAGUAACACGUGAGUAACCUGCCCUUGACUCUGGGAUAACUGCGGGAAACUGUAGCUAAUACCGGAUACGACCCUCGGAGGCAUCUCCUGGGGGUGGAAAGAAUUUCGGUCAAGGAUGGACUCGCGGCCUAUCAGCUAGUUGGUGAGGUAAAGGCUCACCAAGGCGACGACGGGUAGCCGGCCUGAGAGGGUGACCGGCCACACUGGGACUGAGACACGGCCCAGACUCCUACGGGAGGCAGCAGUGGGGAAUAUUGCACAAUGGGCGCAAGCCUGAUGCAGCAGCGCCGCGUGAGGGAUGACGGCCUUCGGGUUGUAAACCUCUUUUAGCAGGGAAGAAGCGAAAGUGACGGUACCUGCAGAAAAAGCACCGGCUAACUACGUGCCAGCCGCCGCUGUAA